CCUACGGGCGGCUGCAGUGAGGAAUAUUGGUCAAUGGGCGAGAGCCUGAACCAGCCAAGUCGCGUGAAGGAUGACGGCCCUACGGGUUGUAAACUUCUUUGGUCAGGGAGCAAUUGGGUCCACGCGUGGGCUUAGCGAGAGUACCUGAAGAAAAAGCAUCGGCUAACUCCGUGCCAGCAGCCGGGGUAAUACGGGGGAUGCGAGCUUUCUCCGGAUUUAUUGGGUUUAAGGGGUCUGUAGGCGGCAUAUCAAGUCAGCGGUAAAAAUUCGGGGCUCAACCCCGUCGUGCCGUUGAAACUGAUGUUCUGGAGUGGGCGAGACGUCGGCGGAAUGUGUGGUGUAGCGGUGAAAUGCAUAGAUAUCACGCAGAACUCCGAUUGCGAAGGCAGCAUACCGGAGCCCAACUGACGCUGAAGCACGAAAGCGUGGGUAUCGAACAGGAUUAGAUACCCGGGUAGUC
rnacentral:rRNA from 1 species